GUAGCUGGCUACAAAAUAUGUUAUUCUGUAGCCACUUUGAGUUACGAUAAUUACUAUAUUAAUUUACAAGAUUAUAUUAACUCCUUACUAAGUGGUUUACUAUAACAUUACGGUAAAUAUCCUCAUGUGUUAUAGUAACCCAACUAUCGUAAAUACAUAUACAUAUUAUCGUAAAUUAGUAUAUAAAAUUAUCGUAAAUAGAGGUGGCUAUAGAAUAACAUAUUUUGUAGCUAGCUAC
rnacentral:pre_miRNA from 1 species